GGUCUCUUAGCUUAGUUGAAUAGAGCGUCAGAUUCCGGUUCUGAAGGUCAUGGGUUUGAGUCCCAUAGAGACCA
rnacentral:tRNA from 2 species